rnacentral:rRNA from 1 species
UACGAGGGGGCGAGGCGUGUUCGGAAUUAUUGGGCGUAAAGGGUGCGUAGGCGGUUUGGUAAGUCUGAUGUGAAAUCUAUGGGCUCAGCUCAUAGUCUGCAUCGGAAACUGCCGGGCUUGAGUGUGGGAGAGGUGAGUGGAAUUCCUGGUGUAGCGGUGAAAUGCGUAGAUAUCAGGAGGAACACCUGUGGCGAAGGCGGCUCACUGGCCCGAUACUGACGCUGAUGCACGAAAGCGUGGGGAGCAAACAGG